AACUUUUUGUGAUUCCUAAGUGGGAUAACUGGGUCUUCACAUGCAGGUGUGAGAUGUGCCUCCCUCAGACCUUGUUACAGUGGUGUCUCAUUUACCUGUCUGACA
ensembl:snoRNA